rnacentral:misc_RNA from 1 species
UCCUCGGUACAGUACGUGCAGUCAGUACUGAAUGUCCCAGUGGUGGCAGUUGUUGGCAAGGAUGGCGCGCGGUUUGGGCGCGAUUGUCGCGCUUGCGUUAUUUGCCUGCGUGGUGGAGGCCCAACGGAAGCCCAUCAAGGAAGCGUUGUUCCUCAACACGGACAUGUUUAACUCCACGAUGGAGGAUUGCGUGUGGCGUCGGGAGCGAGAGCCUUGUCCUGAUCCGAACGUCACUAUUAACUUGUACACUGAAGCUGAACCGUUUAAAAAAGAGGUUGACUUGUUCAGCGAGGACUGGCUCCGUCAGAGCAGCUGGGAGCCUUCGCACGAGAGCAUCCUGCUGAUACACGGCUACGCGGGCGGAGACGACACUUUGCCUAUUGUCGUGCUGAGAGACGCCUACCUCCGUCGCGGAGGCUACAACGUGUUCAUGAUGGACUGGGGCCAGCUGUCGCAGCCGCCGUGCUACGUGGCGGCCGUACACAACCUGCGGCCCGUCGCGCGCUGCGUGGCCGAGGCGCUGGGCUCGCUGCGGCGCGCCGGCUUGCGGCCCGACCGCCUCACGUGCGUCGGCCACUCGCUCGGCGCGCACAUGUGCGGCAUACUGGCCAACUACUUGAACUUCAGACUCAAUCGGAUCAUUGGGUUGGACCCAGCGCGGCCCCUCAUCAGGUCUGCGCCAGCGCUACGGCUGGACCCCGGAGACGCGCGCGCAGUACACGUGUUGCAUACCAACGCGGGACGCUACGGCGAGGGCGCGCGGCUGGGACACGCCGACUUCUGCCUCAACGGGGGCCGCAGCCAGCCUUACUGUGAAGACACGCCCAGUAUGUAUCCCCAGGAUUGGACCCAGCGCGGCCCCUCAUCAGGUCAGCGCCAGCGCUGCGGCUGGACCCGGGCGACGCGCGCGCAGUACACGUGUUGCAUACCAACGCGGGACGCUACGGCGAGGGCGCGCGGCUGGUACACGCCGACUUCUGCCUCAACGGGGGCCGCAGCCAGCCUUACUGUGAAGACACGCCCAACGAAGCUCUCUGCAGCCACGUGUGGUCGAUCUGCUACCAGGCCGAGAGCCUCUUCAGGCCGCGUUCAGCCGCACCGUGCGGUCGAAGGUGCUCAGUAAGAGUUCCUCCCUCCAGGUCCUCCGCCUUACCUGUGCCUCUGGGACAACCUGCACCUAUGACUGCAUCAGGCGCCUACUGCGUGGAGGACUUCACGACGCCCUUCUGCCCGAGCUCGAGCGGUCUGGCGGAGGGAGACGCGCGCUGUUGC